rnacentral:lncRNA from 1 species
GGCGCGGGAGGGAGGGAGUCACGGUGUGGGGGCCUCGGGAGAAAUAGAAUCAAACUAUUUUUUGUGUAACUAGUGGCAUUGGUGGGUAAUUACCCCUCAACUCCACGAGGAGGUUCAGAAGAGGUGGUUUUGGAGCUGCAAAAGAUGUACUCCAAAACUCCACCCCCAUUUGCACUACAGCUUCAUGGAGUUGGUAGCCUCAUGGAGUUUUGGAGCUGGGGUGUUUGGCUGCAAUCUUUUGCUGAAGUUGCUGGAGUUCAGCUACAGAGCCAUGCCAAACAGGACCUAAUUAUUUCCUCCUGGGCUGCUUGCCCCUGCCUGAGAACUUCCAAACAGUGACGGGGGAGAGAGCCCAAAAAAACCCUCUAGUGGAUGGGAUUUGAAAUAAAAGAAAUCUCGUAGGAGCAUUUCUUCCCUGAGCUAAUCAGCUCUGUACUUCCAAAGGAGCCCUAAAGUAAAG